GUGCUUGGUUUGGCAGCACAUAUGUUAAAACUGGAACAACACAGAGAUUAGCAUGGUCCCUGUACAAGGAUGACACACAAAUUCACGAAGAGUUUAAAAAAAUG
ensembl:snRNA U6 U6 spliceosomal RNA